rnacentral:rRNA from 1 species
AGAGCGAACGCUGGCGGCAGGCCUAACACAUGCAAGUCGAGCGGCCGUAGCAAUACGGCAGCGGCAGACGGGAGAGUAACACGUGGGAACGCGCCCUUCGGUUCGGAAUAACUCAGGGAAACUUGGGCUAAUACCGGAUACGCCCUUACGGGGAAAGAUUUAUUGCCGAAGGAACGGCCCGCGUCCGAUUAGCUUGUUGGUGAGGUAACGGCUCACCAAGGCGACGAUCGGUAGCUGGUCUGAGAGGAUGACCAGCCUCACUGGGACUGAGACACGGCCCAGACUCCUACGGGAGGCAGCAGUGGGGAAUAUUGGACAAUGGGCGCAAGCCUGAUCCAGCCAUGCCGCGUGGGUGAUGAAGGCCCUAGGGUUGUAAAGCCCUUUCGGCGGGGAAGAUAAUGACGGUACCCGCAGAAGAGCCCCGGCUAACUUCGCGCCAGCCAGCCGC